UCCGCUUCAGCUAUUGGAGGGAGUCACAGCGGUAGGCGGCGGAGGAGGGGCGGUUCCGGGCGCUGCGAGAGCUUCAAUCUCUCUCCUGAGCUGUCACUCAUCACAGCUGUGCAAAGCAUCGCUGUGUGCCAGGCAUGUUGGUCGUAGCUGUGGAUGCAAUGGGAAAGGCGAUGGGCAGGGUUCCUGCCUUAGGGCACUCACAGUCUAGUGGGCAGACUAACUGUAAUAAAAGAAACAUGCCCUUACUAAUAAAAGUAAAACUUUAAA